GACGAACGCUGGCGGCGUGCCUAACACAUGCAAGUCGAACGAAGUGGCGAACGGGUGAGUAACGCGUAAUCAACCUGCCCUUCAGAGGGGGACAACAGUUGGAAACGACUGCUAAUACCGCAUACUGAAGGAGGGGAUUGCGUCUGAUUCGCUCGUUGGCGGGGCAACGGCCCCCUAAGGCGGUGAUCAGUAGCCGGGCUGAAAGGAAGAACCGCCAAAUCGGGAAUGAGACACGGCCCAGACUCCUACGGGAGGCAGCAGGGGGGAAUCUUCCGCAAUGGACGAAAAUCUGACGGAGCCACGCCGGGUGGGUGAUGGAGGCCUUCGGGUUGUAAAGCUCUGUUAAUCGGGACGCGGUACCGGAAUAGAAAGCAACGGCUAACUACGUGCCAGCCGCCGCGGUAAUAC
rnacentral:rRNA from 1 species